rnacentral:rRNA from 1 species
UAACGCGUGAGUAACCUGCCUUUCAGAAGGGGAUAACGUUCUGAAAAGAACGCUAAUACCGCAUAAGAUUGUAGUUUCGCAUGGAGCAGCAAUCAAAGGAGCAAUCCGCUGAAAGAUGGACUCGCGUCCGAUUAGAUAGUUGGCGGGGUAACGGCCCACCAAGUCGACGAUCGGUAGCCGGACUGAGAGGUUGAUCGGCCACAUUGGGACUGAGACACGGCCCAG